GAGGAGGAGCCUCCGGAAGGGGCGGAGGAUGAGGACGGGGCCGAGGAGGAGGAAGGACACGGGGACGGCCCCGGGGCCCCGCCCCGGCAGUGGGAGCGCUACCGGCACGGCGUCCUCACCCUGGGCUGCGUCGGGCUGCCGAACGCGGGCAAGUCGUCGGUGGUGAACGCCCUGAUUGGCCGCAGCGCGGUGGGCGUGUCCCGCACCCCCGGCCACACCCGCUACUUCCAGACCCACUUCCUGACGGGCACCGUGCGACUCUGCGACUGCCCCGGGCUCGUCUUCCCCUCCACGGCCCCCCCAGAGCUCCAGGUCCUGGCAGGGGUGUA